rnacentral:tRNA from 1 species
CCAAGGGAGAACAGAAAAUGGUAAGUACUGCUAAUCCUUACCCCCCACGGUUAAAAUCCGAGGCUUCCUUG